rnacentral:rRNA from 1 species
GAUGAACGCUGGCGGCGUGCUUAACACAUGCAAGUCGAACGGAAAGGCCCUGCUUUUGUUGCUUUCUCGAUUGGCGAACGGGUGAGUAACACGUGUGUAACCUGUCCUUGACUUAGGGAUAACUCUUCGAAACUGGGGCGAUUACCGGAUAUGAUCUACUGCUGCAUGGGGUUGGUUGGAAAGUGUCGGCGGUGCGGGAAGGACUCGAGGCUUAUGAGCUUGCUUGGCUAGUAGUGGCUUACCAAGGCUUUGACGGGUAGGCGGCCUGAGAGGGGUACCGGCCACCUGGGGACUGCGGUACGGAGCAGAAUGCUAUGGGCGGCAGUAGUGGAGAGUAUUGCAGAAUGGGGGGAAGCCUGAUGUGGAAACGCUGCGUGCGGGAUGCCGGCUUACGGGUUGUAAACAGAUUUCGACUGUGCCGAAGAGUGAGUGACGGUAAUGGAUAAAGAAGCAACGGCUAACUACGUG